rnacentral:rRNA from 1 species
AUUGAACGCUGGCGGCAUGCCUUACACAUGCAAGUCGAACGGCAGCGGGGGAGAAGCUUGCUUUUCCUGCCGGCGAGUGGCGAACGGGUGAGUAAUACAUCGGAACGUGCCCUGUAGUGGGGGAUAACUAGUCGAAAGAUUAGCUAAUACCGCAUACGACCUCAGGGUGAAAGUGGGGGACCGCAAGGCCCCAUGCUCUAGGAGCGGCCGAUGUCUGAUUAGCUAGUUGGUGGGGUAAAGGCCUACCUAGGCGACGAUCAGUAGCUGGUCUGAGAGGACGAUCAGCCACACUGGGACUGAGACACGGCCCAGACUCCUACGGGAGGCAGCAGUGGGGAAUUUUGGACAAUGGGCGAAAGCCUGAUCCAGCAAUGCCGCGUGUGUGAAGAAGGCCUUCGGGUUGUAAAGCACUUUUGUCCGGAAAGAAAUGACUCUGGUUAAUACCUGGGGUCGAUGACGGUACCGGAAGAAUAAGGACCGGCUAACUACGUGCCAGCCGCCGCAGUAA